rnacentral:rRNA from 1 species
UGGGGAAUAUUGCACAAUGGGGGAAACCCUGAUGCAGCGACGCCGCGUGAGCGAAGAAGGUUUUCGAAUCGUAAAGCCCUGUCCUAUGAGAAGAUAAUGACGGUAUCAUAGGAGGAAGCCCCGGCUAAAUACGUGCCAGCAGCCGCGGUAAUACGUAUGGGGCGAGCGUUGUCCGGAAUUAUUGGGCGUAAAGGGUACGUAGGCGGUCUAUUAAGUCAGGUGUGAAAGCGUGAGGCUUAACCUCAUUAAGCACUUGAAACUGAUAGACUUGAGUGAAGGGGAGGAAAGUGGAAUUCCUAGUGUAGCGGUGAAAUGCGUAGAUAUUAGGGAGAAUACCGGUGGCGAAGGCGACUUUCUGGACUUUUACUGCCGCUCAGGUACGAAAGCGUGGGGAGCAAACAGG